rnacentral:rRNA from 1 species
GUCCACGCCCUAACGAUGUUUACUCGACGUCCGGGCCCUGCGUCCGUGCGUCCAAGCGAAAGCGUUAAGUAACCACCUGGGGAGUACGUUCGCAAGAAUGAAACUCAAAGGAAUUGACGGGGUCCGCACAAGCGGUGGAGCAUGUGGUUUAAUUCGAUGAUACGCGAGGAACCUUACCUGGGCUAGAAUGCGAGUGCCGCCCGGUGAAAGCCGGGUUUCCUUCGGGACACAAAGCAAGGUGCUGCAUGGCUGUCGU